AACACGAAGAUGGCUAAGGAGUCCAGUCUUCGCUUUUAAAAUUCCUCCCUUAAUAGCUUAGGACUUUCCAAAAGCGAAGACCGGACUCUUUAGCCAUCUUCGUGU
rnacentral:pre_miRNA from 1 species